rnacentral:rRNA from 1 species
UACGUAGGAGGCAAGCGUUGUCCGGAAUUACUGGGCGUAAAGCGCGUGUAGGUGGUGGGACAAGUCUGCUGUGAAAGCGCCUGGCUUAACCGGGCGAGGUCGGCGGAAACUGUCCGACUCGAGGACGGUAGAGGGGGGUGGAAUUCCCGGUGUAGUGGUGAAAUGCGUAGAGAUCGGGAGGAACACCUGUGGCGAAGGCGGCCCCCUGGGCCGGCCCUGACACUGAAGCGCGAAAGCGUGGGGAGCAAACGGG